AACUGUAAAUGUCUUUUGGUUUUGAAAGUCGCUUUCCAUCUAGUUACAAAUUGAAGAAGUGACUCAACUCGGUAGAAUUUCCCUAAUUCGGAAUGCCUUGAUUUUUUUGCCACUGCCUAUGGAAAACUCUUUCUUAAGGGCAGGCAAAGAUAGCUUGUAGCAAACCUCCACAGGAGGGCACUAUAGUGUGAUUGGUUCAAGCUGCGGCAGCUGAGAGCUGAGGCCCAUUCUGUCCUUACCCGGGUUUGGAUGAAGAGUCUCAAAGAGACUGUGUGCAUUUCCUGAGCUGGAAAAUUCUAUGUAGUCAAAACUCAGGAUGGUAGGUUUCAUGGGAGUUGGUGUUUCCUCUAUCGGAUAAAAACGACUAGAUCUGCCAUUGCCUGGUGACACAUGACACCGCUUUGCAGCUCUGACAGGAGAACUGUGGUACUGUCCAUAUGUUCAUAUUCAGGAGAAAGGUUUUUAUUGCCAAGCAUCUGAAAGUUGACAUGCCAAGUAUUAAAGGCACGCACAUAAACACAGCUAUUGAUUCUGAACUCCAUCUUGACAUCUGAUUAUGGGAAACCAAGCUUGCCACAUGGAAUAUUGGUUGAAUUUUGUCAGCAAGAGGAUUUGUCAUCAAUAUUCAGAGAGAUAGACUUCUUCAAAUCCUGAAGUUACUUCCUGUUUUCUGAACAGCAGGAUACCAACUUGACUGUGACAUCUUAGAGACAAGUCGCUUCUAGAAUUUGCUUGAUAUUUUCCUACAAAUGUAUUGCAUUUAAAGAUGCUAUUUAAAAUUCUUAACCCAUUGGAUUCCUCCCUGUACACUCCUUCCUCACUUCCUUGUUGAAAUAAGAAGCGGCGGGGCUGCGUCCCCAACACCCCGGCCGCUUGGCUAGCUCACGCCCGAAAUAACAACACACAAACUGUAUUCAUUUAAGAACUGCUUGGCCCCUGAACUCUAGCCCUUACAGGCUAAUUCUCGCACCUGGACUAGCCCAUUUCUAAUGAUGUGUGUAAGCACCCCAAGGUGCGCUUACCGGGAAGAUUCUAGCCUACAUCCAUCUUCAUCGUGUGUGCCUCAGAGAGCAGAGCUAUCGCGUCUACCCGGGAGAGCUGAGCAUGGCGUCUGUGCUCCCGAGCUGUCGGCUCUCUCCCUGGAAGCAGAGCAGAGUCUGACCUCACUUCCUCUUCCGCCCAGAAUUCUAUUCUGUUUACUCCUCCCAUCUAUGUUCCAAGCCAUGAGGCCAAGCAGCUGGUUUAUUAUAACUUAACCAAUGAAAUCAACAGAUUGAUAUAUGACACUCCCACAUCACUUCCUCCUUUCUGUCUUCUCUCCCUUCUGCUUCCCCCUUUUCUCUUCCUAUUUCUACCUUUGCCUUUUGGUUGUGGAUCCUUCUAUGAUGGGUGCUUUGCCACUGAAGCCCAGUAUCUUUACUAGGCUAGACUAUGUCCUGCAGUUUGUCAUUCUUUGCUCUUUUCCAGAAUGAUCGUUCCCUUUGUUCCAUAAAGGUUGUCUUCAGGCACUUUGGAAAUAUUAUUUCAAUAUGUUUGGGUGGCUUGUUGCCAAUCCUUUCUUCCCAGUAUUUGGAGAUAGUGGGACUUCUGCAUGCUAUGUCUCCAUCAAAAACCUGGGACCUUUGUCUGUCUUUUCCUUCUCAUUUAUUGUGUAGUUUUCUGGAAUUUGUUCUGCACAUCACAGGUUGGUUUUCCCGUACUGCUGCUUUAAACUCUUUAUCAUCUUAGAUAUUUUAAAACCUUUUAAUGUCACUGCCUAACCCUUUUUGUUACGUCAUUUCUCUUUCCAUUACAUUUUAUUUCUAUGUCAUAGAUAUUCCCCUUAAUUUAUUUGGGUAUUCAAAAUACAUAUAGGUUAAAAUUCUUCCUUUAGAAUAAAUCUUCAUCUACCUCAACUGUGUCUACUCAUUCUUCCCCUCCCUUCUCCUUCCCUUUCUCUCCCCCUCUCUCCAUCUCUCCCUCCUCUUCCUUCAUUACUUUCUCUCUUCUUAUCUCCACUUUACUUUUAUCUUUUAUUUCCUUCUUCCCAGCUUUGGUUCUGCUAUCACAUCUAAUUUAAAAACCACUACUUAUUUUUAAUGAAGUGACCUCCUAAAUUCUAUAUGAAGAAACUCAGGGCUGUAUACCAUGAAAUAGAACUAAUUCUUUAGCCUCUAACUUUUGGAGUUUCGAAAGUUUUUGAGAAAAUGGUAGAAGGAAGGCUUGCCUACUAAGUUACUGUGUUCUUGAAGUAUGGCUGCUUUCAAUGGAAAGACCAGACCAGAAACAGCAAGCGUUCUUUAUAGAAGCCACUCCCAACUACCUGUCAGUCUUGUCAUCAGGAGUGGGAGAGCUAAGAACUUUCCCCAGUUCAUCCAGGAAAGGCACUGCUUGGAUUUUCUGUUGCAUCCCUUGCAACGCUGCUAUAGAGAUGUAUACUUUGCAUUGGUAUGGAUCUUGGUCUACUGAUACAAAUUUAAUGUCAAUUUUGUUAUAUGUAUAUUUCGUCUCUUAAUUAAGGUGUUAUUUUUGAAGAGCUCAUUUAAAAAUGUAAUGUAUAAUUAAGAAAUAUAGGCUAAUAGAUAGUCAUCUAUAAUAGUCAAGCUUGUAGUCAUGUUAGUUGGGUUUUCUAGAUGUACAGAGAUAUAUUUCAGAUGGAUAGUUAUCCUUCAAACCUUUCAAAGACUACAGAAUAUGGCAUUUAAAAUGUAUUAAGAACUUAGGGCUUUUCAUGACAAUGAGACUCAUCUGCUCCUGGCAGCACCAAUCUACUUCAAGAGGAAAAUGAGCACCUAAGAGGCUCCUUAUGGGGCUUGUUAGCCAUUUGGGUAAGAAAGAGUUCUUCCUGAACUGCUUGAUGGUGUGCUGUAUGAACUGGAUAUGCAAGACCCACAGAAAAAUGACCACUGAACUUGCCUAAAGGUGAGACCAUCCUUCAGGGUUCCUGUUACACAAAAGAGACUGCCAGACAUUCCGCAGGACACAGAAGAAAGCAACUGAUGGGCUUUGACAUUACAAGGGAGAACAGAUCUUCAAAUUUCCUGCUUCAUGGAAAAGUUUGUUGGAUAUUACAGGCCUGUAGCUGAAAAUGGAUGCCAGAAUAUAACAGAAGAACUUUGGGUGACUGUCCAGGUAGUGAGAUGUCUCUGUCAAUUCUAGAGUUUUGGAAGUUGCUUAAAAUGUACUUCCUGUUAACUUAGAUAAUAUUAUAUCCUUCUGGAGUUUUUGGUGGAGUUGAAAAAAGAUAGUUAUAAUUAUAAAAAAUAGAUUAGAUAUAAAACUUUAGUCUCACAAAGAUUGGAAAGAUGAUAGAGCAUUUUCCUUAAUUUGCCAAAUGCAAAUGGACUAGAUAUUGUAACUAUAAUUCUUGCUUGAUAACUGUUUUGUUACAUAAAAUUUUACUAUGUUAAAGUUAAAACCUUCCUUUUUAUUUAGAUAGAAAAGGGGAGGUGAUGUGGGAUUCCCCUCUGUAUGCUGUGAAUAUGUUUUAUUGCCAUUGGUUAAUAAAGAAGUUGCUUCGGCCAAUGGCUUAACAGAAUAAAGUCAGAUGGAAAAUCUGAACAGAGAUGUAGAGAGAGAGUAGUCGGAGUCAAAGAGAUGCCAUGUAGCUGCCAAAGGAGACAGACACCCUGGAACCUUGCUAAUAAACCACAAGCCUCAUAGUAAUACACAGAAUAAUAGAAAUGGGUUAAUGUAAGAUGUAAGAGCUAGCUAGAAAUACGCUUAAGCUAUUGGCCAAAACAAUGUUGUAACUAAUACAGUUUGUGUGUGGUUAUUUUGGGUCUGGGUGGCCAGAAAACGAACAAACAGCCUCUACCUACAUGACCCCAUGUUGUAUUCACAUCUAGAGAAUUUAAGCCUGGUUCUCAGCUCCCUCCCUAAACAUGAUCUAUACAGCUUGGUGUCUGACACCAAUUCUUUGGAAUUACAUCAUUGGCUUUACCUUCCUCAGCUGAGGUUGGGAAUCAAACAAAGUCAUUUUGUAACACACCCUCCCAUCAUUACUGUCUCGAGAGUAAGACGAUAGCUGUCUUACAUCAUCAUUCUGAGAUGCGGGAAAACAACGAUGAAGUCUGGUGUUUGGUUUACUAUACAGA